UACAGAGACUGCAAGCGUUGUUCGGAUUCAUUGGGCGUAAAGGGUGCGCAGGCGGUGUGUUAAGUCGGAUGUGAAAUCUCACAGCCUAACUGUGAUAGGUCAUUCGAAACUGGCAUGCUAGAGGACUGGAGAGGAGACUGGAAUGGUCGGUGUAGCGGUGAAAUGCGUAGAGAUCGACCAGAACACCGGUGGCGAAGGCGGGUCUCUGGUCCGGUACUGACGCUGAGGCGCGCCAGCGUGGGGAUCAAACAGG
rnacentral:rRNA from 1 species